UGCACAGCAAGCAACGAGGGAUUCGCGAGCCGAUGAAAAUGGCCGACAUGGACACUGAGGUGUGCAGCAAGAGCCGAGAUAGCGGGAAAGGACAGGAGAAGGACGAAGUGGAGGGUCCAGAGAAGAGUGGGAACGAGGAAGAGAAUGGGGACGUGUCCGGAGAAGAGGAGGAGGAAGACGAGGAUGGGGAGGAGAGCGGUGGCAAGCCAGAGGAGGAGGCGAAGCAUACCGGCGGGAGCAGCGGCGGAAAACGCAAGAAGAAGAAGCACAAGCACCGCAGCAAGCACAAGAAACACAAACGCUCGUCCCCCGAGGAGAAGAACCGCAGACACAAGCACCGGCACAAGCACAAGAAACACAAGCGCAAGGAGAGUGCAUCCACGCUCGCGCCCGCCACCGACAACUCCCCCGGCCACGGCGCCAAGGGCAAAGGGGACGCCUCCCCCGCGGCCAAGCGGCCCAAGCUGGACGACAUGGCGGUGCUGGAGGACCUGGAGAAGCAGAGGGCCAUGAUCAAGGCUGAGCUGGACAGCGAGCUGAUGGAGGGGAAGGUUCAGUCGGGCAUGGGCCUGAUCCUGCAGGGCUACAACUCGGGCUCGGAGGACGGCGAGAUCCAGGAGCGGGCGCGGAACGGGGAGCUGCCGAGGAGGGCCUCGGGGAAAGCCCUCGCCCCCAAGAGCCACGGCGCCCCGCCCGCCGCCAAGGACGCCAAGGCGCGGCGGGAGUCGGCAGACGGCGGCAAGCCCGGCUCCAAGCGCCGGAGCAAGUCCAAGGACCGGGGCGGCAAGCAGCACAAGCCCGACAGGAAGAAGAGCAAGAGCGGCGCGGAGGCCGGGGGCAGGGAGCGCGCCCGGGGACGCAGCCGCUCCAGAGACAGGAAGCGCUCACGCAGCCUCGACCGGUCCAAGGACCACGCCAGGAAGUCCAAGUCCCCCGCCGGCAGGCGCCGCUCAUCUGCGGACAGGAACCGGCGGUCAGCAUCCCCACCGGGGGAGGCGGGGCAGAAGGCCCGCCCGGGCCGGAGGCCGACGUCCCCUGGGGCCCCGGCGGCCGCGCAGGCGGACGAGGGCCAGAACCGCGAGCGCGGCGGGCGCAGGUCCCGGUCGCCCGAGCGACGAGCGCGCUCCAGGUCCAAAGAUGGGAAGCCCAGGCGCCCCGAGGCGGAGCAGGACAGGGACAGGAAACCGGCCAAGUCCCCCUCCAAGGACGCGUCGUCGGGCAAGGAGAACCGCUCCCCCGGCCGCAAGCUGGGGGGCAGCGGCCAGCGGCAGCGAAGCACCUCCCCCCGCAGGAGGGACCGGCGCUCCCCGCCGGCGGCGGAGAGGACAGCCAUAAACAGCCACUUGGCCCCCCAGUCCCCAGUCAGAAGGGCACGCAGCCGGUCCCUGGACCGCAAGCGCAGGGAGGCGGACCGACCGCGACUCUCCCCGGUCAGGAUGCGUUCGCGGGACGAGGCCGGGGCGCGGUGGGACAGGUCGCGUGACGGGAGCCCCGGGCCGGGGGCCCGGCGCAGAGUCAGCCGCUCGCCCCUGAGGAGGAGGUCCCGGUCGCCGCUGAGGCGCUCGCGGUCGCCGCGCAGACGAAGCCGGUCCCCAUUCAGGCGAAGGUCAUGGGACAGGGACAGGCUGGGGAGGUUCAGGCCGCGCUGGCGCUCGGGGUCCCGGGACAGGGGGCGGAGGCGCAGACGCAGCCGGGACGAGGACAAGUACAAGGGCAGCCUUUCGGAGGGCAUGAAGGCCAACCAGGAGUCCUCCUCUGAGGAAGUGUUGGAGGACUAUGAUGUUGACGAGGAGGAUGAAGAGGCAGUUAUCGAGCAGCGGCGUCUGCAGCGCCAGGCCAUCGUGCAGAAGUACCAGGCGCCAAACGAGGACAGCAUGGCGUCGGCGCCCUCGGAGCCCAGCAGCCCCCAGAGCAGCGCCCGCAGCCGCUCGCCCUCGCCCGACGACAUCCUGGAGCGCGUGGCCGCCGACGUCAAGGAGUACGAGCUGGAGAACGCCGACACCUUCGAGGCCAUCGUCAAAGCCAAGCACAACCUCAUUCCCGUGGAGAAGGACGGAUCCAAUCCAAAAAAGCCAUCAGCCCCCGAUAUGUUUACAGAAUCGGACGACAUGUUUGCCGCAUACUUUGAUAGUGCAAGACUGAGAGCGGUCGGUAUUGGGAAGGAUUUUAAAGAGAACCCCAACCUCAGGGACAACUGGACAGAUGCAGAAGGGUACUACCGCGUGAACAUCGGGGAGGUGCUGGACAAGCGGUACGGGGUGUACGGCUACACGGGACAGGGUGUGUUCAGCAACGUGAUUCGGGCCAGGGACUUGGCCCGGGCCAACCAGGAGGUGGCAGUCAAGAUCAUCCGCAGCAAUGAGCUCAUGCAAAAGACGGGACUGAAGGAGCUGGAGUUCCUGAAGAAGCUCAACGACUCCGACCCCGAUGACAAGUUCCACUGCCUCCGACUCUUCAGACACUUCUACCACAAGCAGCACCUGUGCCUGGUGUUUGAGCCCCUCAGCAUGAACCUGCGGGAGGUGCUGAAGAAGUACGGGAAGGACGUGGGGCUGCACAUCAAGGCGGUGCGCUCGUACAGCCAGCAGCUCUUCCUGGCCCUCAAGCUGCUGAAGCGCUGCAACCUCCUGCACGCCGACAUCAAGCCCGACAACAUCCUGGUGAACGAGUCCAAGACCAUCCUCAAGCUGUGCGACUUCGGCUCGGCGUCUCACAUCGCAGACGGCGACAUCACGCCCUACCUGGUCAGCCGAUUCUACCGGGCGCCUGAAAUCAUCAUCGGGAAACCCUACGAUUACGGGAUUGACAUGUGGUCAGUGGGCUGCACGCUGUACGAACUCUACACAGGAAAGAUCCUCUUAUCGGGCAAAACCAACAACCACAUGCUCAAGCUGGCCAUGGACAUCAAGGGCAAGAUGCCCAACAAGAUGAUUCGUAAAGGUCUGUUCAGAGACCAGCACUUCGACCAGAACUUGAACUUCCUGUAUAUUGAAGUGGAUAAAGUGACUGAAAGGGAGAAGGUGACUGUGAUGAGCACCAUCAACCCCACCAAGGACCUGCUGGCCGACAUGGUGGGCUUCCAGAGGCUCCCCGAGGACCAGCGCAAGAAGGUCAACCAGCUGAAGGACCUCCUGGACCAGAUCCUAAUGCUGGAACCGGCCAAGCGCAUCAGCAUCAACCAGGCCCUGCAGCACCCCUUCAUUCAAGAGAAGAUCUGACCCGCCCUCGCGCCACCAAGUACAUGGGUCUGGCAGGAGGCAAAACAAACUGAAAGACAUUGAUGAAAGUUUGUUACUGCAGCGACUUGACUCAAGAAUGUCUGGAAACAGGCUUAUUUUUUAAGCAGUGUAACAUUUUUAAAAAUUGAUUCUGAUGCACGUGCAUAAACUUGUUUGUUUUUAUUAUGAGCAUAAAAUACAACCAAAGUUGGGGUCCAAGAAUAUAUGUAUAUAUUUUUCUUGUUGGAUGAACUACAAAGCACCCAUAAAUUGGGGGAAAGUUUGACCUCAGCCUCGCUGGUGAAGAAGUACUACUAUUGUGUUUUGGCCAUUCCAAAUAGAUUUUUAAGGUGGGGAAUAAAAAGCCUGUAACUUUUUUUUUGUUUGUUUUUUAAAUUCCUCAUUUAGUGUUUUUUUCUUGGGCCCUGGAAGGUGACCAGUUGCUAUAAAUGUAAAUAGGUGACGCAUCUUGUUCAGAUUCCUGUUAUCGGGAAGGUUUAUUUUUCUCUAAAUUGGUUGCCUAGGUUUGCAGAAAUGAGUGAAAAUGAAGUAUCAGGUGAACGUACUUUUUUUUAACGUGACAUGUUUGUUUCUCCUCUGUUGUGCACACAGAGGCGUGAAGGACGCGGUGCGUCUCGCGCGGUCGCGGCUCUCGCGCGGCGCACGCCAGCGUAAAUGGCGUCCGUGGCGCGGCCGUGCGUAGCCAUCUUGAGCGCGCCCGCGGGGACCACUGCCUCUAUUAAAGCAGGUUGUGUACCACUUUCUGUAGACUGAAGGUAAGCUCCCCAACCCAAACAACUGCACAUUUUAGCACUCAGAGCAGACUCCCUAGCCUCUUGGGCAUUUGCUUACGCUUCUUGCAUGUUUCAAAGGUUUAAGAAGAUGGAGUGGGGGGGGGGGGGGGGGGGGGGGGGAUAGAGGAGAGAGCCUGACAAACACUCUGCUCAAAAGCUGCAGACCGUCGGUUUUUUAAAUAUCCGAGCUUUACAGAACAGCUGUCGGUCCGUGUUUAAAAUGUUAAUGCUGUUUCUUUUUUUUAAAAGCUCAGGAGUGAAUUCGAAUGGGUUUUCCACAAACCAGCCGAGUGCGUAGAAGCGAGGGGGGUCGGGGGGUGUCUGCUAAGCUGUCAUGGAGGAAAGCACCUUCAGUGCACUACCUCUUACUUCUUUUGUCAAUAAUUCUACUUUGAAUCCUUGCAGUUUACAACUUUUCAAAUGUAACGGGUAGUCAACUGUUUUUCUCCCUUUCCCCAACUUUCCGCUAAAUUUUUAGUGGUCACAUUUCAGUAUGAAAGGGGGGAGGCUUUGUACAGUUUGAGUUCAUUUUUAAGAUAAUUCAGUAUUUUCCUUUUUUCCGUUCUCUCAUGAUUGUGAUCAUGUCUUUUGAUACAGGGGUUUUCCUGCUCAGACCUUUAUCAUCUGCUUGUUGCAAGCGAAAGCAAGUUAAAACUUCCAGGCCUGGAGGCUCUGUCACCCAUCUGCUACAGCCUGGUUCUGAAUGAGAGAGACAAGAUCUCCAGCUCCUUAACAAGGUCAUUUCUGAUGGCAUAUGUAGAUAAGACAUAGACUGGGGAAAGUGGUAUACACCAACACAGAUCUAGAUUACCUGUAAACAAUACUAACGCCAGCUCUGCAGGGAACCCAGGUGUCGGCCAUUUUGUAGUUGUCACCUUCAUUUAUUACCUUGGUACUACCACUUAUGUUCAAAUCUGCACACCUGCCUGAAAGGGAAAGCAAUGCAUUUCUUCUGAGCAGCAGUUACUCAUGUAGAAGACACCCAAAGCCUUUGCCAUUGUCAGUGCUGUAGCCUGUGUGGUACACCUGUGUUAAAGGUGUUGUUCUCUUUAUAUUCUCACCAAAAAAAGGUAUGUUUUCAUUUCUCCAGAUCACAUGUAGGAAGCGACCAUGCCAUAGGAAAAAGCACUGUAAAGUUGCCAGACUUGAACUUGAGGGGCAUUUACAUCGGACUGUUUAAAUGUGUGGAAGAUUUCCCCACACGUAAAAUCUUAAUUGACGCAGCGUUCCUUUUUUUAGGUGAUGUUUUCCCAGAGUGCUCUUAGAUGCUCGUUGUAUUCUCUGUAUUCUAGGCGCAGUCCAGUGGAAGACCCUCACGGGGAUCCUCACCUGGACAAAGGUUUCUGUUUCAGAGUGCAGACUGUUGUGCCCAUCAAGUGUAAAAGAUGUCAUUGUUUUGAUUAGCGCUUAGCUGUGUGGGGUCUGUAAGCAAUCCGGAAGAUCAACCCCCCUCCCUCUGACCUCACGCUGUCCAUCUGAAAGUUGUUUCUUUUCUAACUGUGUGAAGGGAAAAAUUUAUUUUAGAUGUGAAAGAAUUUUAGAUGUGUUGAGUUCCAGAAUGUGAAAUAUAGUGCGUCUGCUGAUUGUGAUGAAACCUGACCCUCCUUACCAACAUUUAUCUGCAAAUUUUAUGAUGAUUGGUGUUGGACUGUAGAAGCAACUUUAAAACAAAAAAAAUAGUAGGGUAGUUUUGUGAGUUUGUACAGAUAUGGUCUUGAUACAAGACAUUUUGACAAGGCAGUUUGAAAUGCUCUAUGUAUUAAAGUGAUCACUGACAAUAAGGUAAUGCUUUUGUUUUUUUUGUUUGGGGACAAAUAUUAAUUAAAUAUUAUUUAAUUUUUAUUACCAUGGUAAUACCUUGACUUUUUCUUUUGUUUUGCAGGGUAAGUCACCAUUUUCAAGUACCUUCUUUCUGACCUGAUAUGACUUCCAUGGAGGCUCCAGUGGCAGUCUACUUGCACUGACUCCGAACAGCUUGAUUGUUGGGCAGUUUGCCAUUCUGUGUGACCAGUAUAAAAAAACUUUAUUUGCAUAGCAGAUUAUUUGCAUGACUUCCAUAAACUGAUAUUUUCAGUAUUUUUCACCGAAGUUUUUUUCUAUAGCAAGUCUAAGUACCUUGAAUUGUGUGUAAAACUGUGCAUAAAAACAGUUGUCCACCUGUGUUUAUAUAAUAAAGUGCUGUGGAGAAAA